GGCAUAUAGAAAUAAUAAAAAGUGCUUUUUUGUUUAUUUAUGCACAAUUUACUGCACUUUCUUAUAGCACUAUCCCUAUUUUCAGUCCAAUAUGAGUCAACAUUAUUGCCACAUUUUUAACUCUAUUUGAGUCUUUUUUAAUAAGUGUGAAAUACAAGGUAAGUCACUUAAAUUGACUUUAUUUGAAAAUGGGGAACAAAACUUCCUCCAAAACACACAAACACAACAUAUCAGGAAUGUGAAUAAUGUCCUGGUUAAAUGGGGCAGACAAGAUUCUGAUUGGCUGAAGGGGCUGUCAGCACUGUGUUUUGAAGCUUGUGGCCAGAUUAGAUGAGAGAAUAGGAGAAUCGUGGCAGUCAAAAGAGGUACUAAGCUAGCAGAAAGGACUAACUUUAAGUCUUGAGAUAAGCCUUCAGACUCUGCCAUGACAUUAACUGAGAUUAUCUUAAUUUUGGCUGGAACUUGCACUGUCAUGCUUUUUGGAGUGAAACUAAUAUGUUUUGUCAUGGUGCUUGCCCCGAAGCUCUGCUAUCCUCUUCCUGAGUCUUUUAUGACCUCUCUGGGAAAAUGGGCAGUGAUCACUGGAGGUUCAGAUGGAAUAGGAAGAGCAUAUGCACAAGAGCUUUCAAAAUACGGCUUGAAUGUGGUCAUCAUCAGCAGAAAUCAAGAGAAGCUCGACAGGGCAGCCAGGACUAUAGAACUUGCUACAGGAGUGCAGGUCAAAGUAAUAGCUGCUGACUUCACCAAAGAUAAUAUAUACGGACACAUUAUGGAACGUAUAGAGGGUCUGGAUAUUGGUAUUUUAGUGAAUAAUGUUGGCAUUCUGCCCAACCAAAUACCUUGCAGGCUGCUUGAAACAGCAGGUUUGGAAGAGAGAAUAUAUGAUGUUAUAAACUGCAAUGUGAAAGCUAUGGUUAAGAUGUGCAGUAUUGUGCUACCAGGAAUGCAGGAAAGAGGAAGAGGAGCCGUUUUGAAUGUGUCUUCUGGCAUAGCCAAAAUACCCUUCCCUCUUUACACCUUGUAUGCAGCAUCUAAGGUUUUCGUUGAGAGAUUUUCACAGGGUCUUCAAGCAGAAUAUAGAUCCAAGGGAAUUAUCAUUCAGUCUCCUUUCUCAGACAGUGGCUCCAUUCGGGGUUUCAACAUCAAUGACAUUAUAUCAAAAGCCAGAUUUGGUCACAUUUACAGCUGAGGAUUUUGUGAGGAGCUCCCUAAAGUAUCUGAGGGCUGGUGAUCAAACAUACGGAAGCAUCACUCAUACAAUAUUGGGCUGGAUUUUGCAGGCCAUUCCCACAUGGGUCCUACGGAGUAAAGCGUUCCAGCAUAACUUUGAGGAAUAUGUGAAGGAGCAGAUUGGAAGAUGAACAUAUGUUCUCUAUGUAUAUACAUAAAGUAUUGACACUGUUGUGUUGUUUGCACUAAUUGACAAUAGCUGCAUCCAUUUCAUGGCUUUUUAGGUAUGCAGUUGUGUAGUAUGAAAACAUUUCUUUUACAUACAUUAUUUGAUCUAUGAUGUAAUUAUAAAUGUUUGAAAGCUCCUCUUCACGACCACUUUGUUCUCAUGGGGAGACGACAAAAUGAAGUUUAUCCACGGGCCUUCAAAAUAUCCUGUAUCAGUGCUGAUAAUGUAAAGUAUUCAUCCUUAAAAUUAUCUCAUAUCAUAUCAGUAAAGAGACAAGACCUUGUUAACAUAACAGACAGUUUGUCUCCCAAAAGGCCAUACAGAGGCAAGAAGGGAAAAUAAGAGAUGUGACCUUGUUAUUUCCACAAUUGACACCAAUCAGCCUGUUGAAAGGUUUACAUACCCAUGGCUCGUAAUGUAUUUUGUUGCCUUCUUGAGGAUCAUUGAAUGUUUGUAUCUUUUGAAAUAAUUGUGUAUGAUUUUCUCAAAUGUCCCCGGUGUAUAAAGAUAAAUUUCAACCAGGCCCGGAUUCAAAGGGAAGGCCAGAGUGGGCUUGGCUCAUCCAAUUAGAAGCUUGGCCCACCCUGGCCCCACACCACAUAACAGCCAAUCUUUUGGCCAAAAAUCUGUAAUGUUAUACUAUAUUAACAGACAUGAGAAUAAUUCUUAAGAAAAAAAGCAUUUCAGAUAAAAUUUAAAUUUUUAGUUUGUUUUAGUUGAUGUAAAUAAAUAGUUAUUUUAAAAGAACUGCCCCUUUUUAACAAAGUUACUAAAUAGUUCCUAAAUAUGUAAAAAAAAAUACAAUUAAAGCAUUAAAGACCGGCCCACCUGGAAUAUCACUUGGCCCACCUUUCAUCUCAUAUCUGGAGCCGGGCUUGAUAUUGAAGAGAGUAUAGACAGUUUUUCUUGAAGAGACAGUUUUUCUUGAAGAGAGUAUAGACAGUUUGAAACAAGAGACUAAUAAAUUCACAAAAAUCAUAAAACAUAAAAACGAUCAUCAAUAUCUUAAUAUCAAGUGUAUGUAGAUUUUUCAACUGGAUUAUUUUGUUCAGUUAUUUUUGUGUCAUGUGGACUAUAUGUAAACAUCUGUUAAAAUAGCUACCCAUUUUUAGUACAAAAAUAAAAAAAUCGAUUUGUAUGAUCCCUUUAUGAUUUUCCCUACAAACAGUUAAAAAAUUGUGCAAGCUAUUUUUGGCGCCACACAGUGGUUAAGGACUAGUUCAAUCAAAUGAAACGUCUAUCAUUAUUUACUUUAGUCUAAUAUGUUAUUCCAAACUCUAUGCUGUCUUUUUGUGGACAAAUAAAAGAAUAUCUCUU